GUGAACCUCGCCAGCCAAAUCAAAUUUCGCUUAACCCUAGAAGCCUGAACCUAUUUUCGCCGCACCACCUUACCACCGCACCACCUCACCACCGCACAACCCUUCUUCUCACCAUCGUAUAACCCUCCAAAUUUUCACCUCUUCUCCACCGCAACACCGCUUUUCACACGUCUGUUCUUCUCUUCUCCACCCAAACUGACACAUUCACGUUUCCCAUCGUGGUCACAGAGAUAACGACCUCAACCUUCCGCUGUCUCAAACGAUGUCGUUUUCAAAUAUCCGAUCGCUAUUCCUCGUCCUUUGUCUUCGAAUCAGUCAUCUAGUCUUGUUUCCGAUAUCUUACGACUUCGUGUUGCAUAUCAGGUAUUUGAUAUUUUGCUUCUUGCAUUGCAUGGAAAGUGGUUUUGAAAUUUUGUUUAUUUACAUCACCUUUUUUAGGAUAUUUUUGGAAGCAUUAAUUAUAUAGUGUGUGUAUGUGUUUGUGUUUGAGAAAGAGAGUUUUGGGGGAACACUUUUGCCUUGGUUGUGUGAGGACUCGUAUGAAUAUUGUGAUUUGUGAGGAACAUGGAUGGGCUUAUGUGGGAAUUUAUGAUGGAUUUAGUUGUCAUGAUGCAACCAAUUAUCUUGUUAAUACUAUUUUUUAUGUUGUACAUGAUAGCUUAAAGGGUUUCUAUGUAAUCGAAAUCGAAGUAGUAGUAAUAAAGCAAAAAGUGAAGAGGGUUUUUGUCACAUAGAUGUGUUAGAAGCUCUUUAUGAGGCAAUGAGGAAAACUGAUGAUGCAUUUUUAAUAUAAUAACUAAUGAGAUGGUUAAUCAUAAUCCUGUUUUGGCUAUGAUUGGUUCUUGUGUUUUGGUUAUGUUGAUGAAAGGUGAAGAUGUUUAUUUGAUCAAUGUUGGUGAUAGUCGCGCAAUUUUAGCUACUUGGAUUGAGAAUCAUCCUCAACUCAAUUUGAUUCUCAACAAUGUAGAAUCAUACCUAAUUAGGAGGAUUCAGAUGAUCCUUCCGCGGUAACUAAAGGUAGAGUGAAAGGUUACUUGAAUAUCACAAGGGCUUUUGGAGCAGAAUUCCUUAAGCAGGAUACAAAAUGAUAGGAUUCUUUCUUACUUAGGAGUGUUUUUGGCUAUGCUUUUGAAUGCUACAAAGGAGUUGAAAACAAUAAGCCAGUAUUGGUAUCCUUAUAUCGAUUGUUUCUCCGUGCUUAACUUAUACUUGAUAACUUCUAGUAAAUAAUGAAACUUGAUAACUUAGUACCGCUGAAACUGAGGUACACCUGUUCCUUCAUUGUUAGUCUGCCUCUAGGAUUUGGUAUGCUAUAACAAGGUGGUUAGGAUUUUUGAACUCUACCACAUGUUUAUAAUCCUAAGGUCAAAGUAUGUGCAAUUUUAUUAAUGAUUGAUUUUCAAUAUUACUCAAUGAUGAUUGAUUUAGCCAUUGUAAUUGGGAUGUUAUAAUUGGCUUUGAGGUAUGAAUCAACCUAAGCCUUCUUUUGUGGCUUUGUGUAUGCAGAAGAGUAAGAAAUUUUCCAAAUUGUAGCAGCAUUUUAUCAAGACUUUCCAUAUGUUUCUUUGAAGAAAAUGUACUGUUAGUUAUUUAUAUAACAUAGAUUGUGGGAAGUUCAUUAAUUUAGCUAAUAUGUAUAGGUUCGUGUUGUUUUGUUAGUUUGGGCACUUACAAGAUUUAAAGAAGCAAUCUAUGCAGACCAAAAUCUAGCUUUAUCAAAUUGCAAUAUGUUGAAAUCAGAAAAAUCUAAAAGUGCACUUGACCAUGAUUUUGUCUUUUCCAUUUCAAUUAAGUGAUUAGCUUUUUAUAAUAUUUGUUUGCGCAGGUAUAUAUGCCCUUUGAAAUUUGAUACUGAAUAUGUGAUUCAGGUGCCUAUUUGUUCUUAACUUUUUUAGGUGAUUUAGUUAAUCAGUACAAGACACCAAGGUAUGUGGAGUUUCACCUAUGGCUGUUGUUGAACUCUUGAUUUUAUCAUUUUAUUGCACAUACUCUGAUAGUGAAUUAAUGGAUUAGCAAAUUAAUAUUAUUGUGGUUUUAUAUUGCCCUUUUCAAGUUACCGGAGAAUUGGAGUCUGUCAAAGUAUUGUAACCGCUUCAAUUGAAGAUCCUAAUGGUUAUAAGUUUGAAAAGAAUGACUUGCGAACCUUAUGCAAAGUGAUGCUUCAAUUGAAGAUCCUAAAGGUUAUAAAGGUUAUAAGUUUGAAGACACCAAGGGAUUUUAAUAAAUUGGGUUGAAGGACUAUGAUCAUGAGGUUCUGUUCACAUAUUCCAUCAUUUUCCAUGCCUAAUUAAUUUCUUAGCACCGCUGAAUUUUGUAUUUUACAAGUUGAACAAGGAAUGCUCUUUCUUUAAUAUAAUUUGACCCGCUCAAAAUUCUUCUUUUAUGGAAAUGGACACAAGAUAGAGGAAGUGGGAUAUUAUGUGUUGUUAUAUCUCUUACUAUUGUUAUAUCUUAGUAUUUUAGAGGCAUCUUGGCUCUAUGAUGUAGUUUUUGUAUUGUUAUAUCUUAGUAUUCACUGAUGACCCUUGCAAGUGUAGUAGUGAUAAUUUAUUGGUUAUCUUUUGGAUUGAUUAUGUAUUUUUGGAUAAGUAGAUGGCAAUAUACUUAAAUAUAAAUAUAUAUUAUGUUCA